rnacentral:rRNA from 1 species
CACGUAGGUGGCAAGCGUUGUCCGGAUUUACUGGGCGUAAAGGGCGUGCAGGCGGUUUGUCUAGUCUAGGGUGAAAGCUCCCGGCUUAACUGGGAGAGGUCCUUGGAUACUGGCAAACUUGAGGGAGGCAGAGGAAAGUGGAAUUCCCGGUGUAGUGGUGAUAUGCGUAGAUAUCGGGAGGAACACCAGUGGCGAAGGCGGCCGCCUGG